rnacentral:rRNA from 1 species
GGAAUUUUUCCGCAAUGGGCGAAAGCCUGACGGAGCAAUACCGCGUGAGGGAAGAAGGCUCUUGGGUUGUAAACCUCUUUUCUCAGGGAAGAAAAAAAUGACGGUACCUGAGGAAUAAGCAUCGGCUAACUCCGUGCCAGCAGCCGCGGUAAUACGGAGGAUGCAAGCGUUAUCCGGAAUGAUUGGGCGUAAAGGGUCCGCAAGUGGCAUUGUUAGUCUGCUGUUAAAGAGUUUGGCUCAACCAAAUAAGAGCAGUGGAAACUACAAAGCUAGAGUAUGGUCGGGGCAGAGGGAAUUCCUGGUGUAGCGGUGAAAUGCGUAGAUAUCAGGAAGAACACCGGUGGCGAAGGCGCUCUGCUAGGCCAAAACUGACACUGAGGGACGAAAGCUAGGGGAGCGAAAGGGAUUAGAUCCCCUGUAGUCA